AGGCGCAAGUCGCCCGGGGAGGAGCCUGCGUACGAUUAGCUUGUUGGUGGGGUAAAGGCCUACCAAGGCGACGAUCGUUAGCUGGUCUGAGAGGAUGAUCAGCCACAUUGGGACUGAGACACGGCCCAAACUCCUACGGGAGGCAGCAGUGGGGAAUAUUGGACAAUGGGCGAAAGCCUGAUCCAGCAAUGCCGCGUGUGUGAAGAAGGUCUUCGGAUUGUAAAGCACUUUCGACGGGGACGAUGAUGACGGUACCCGUAGAAGAAGCCCCGGCUAACUUCGUGCCAGCAGCCGCGGUAAUACGAAGGGGGCUAGCGUUGCUCGGAAUGACUGGGCGUAAAGGGCGCGUAGGCGGAUGGCACAGUCAGAUGUGAAAUUCCCGGGCUUAACCUGGGGGCUGCAUUUGGUACGUGUUAUCUAGAGUGAGGAAGAGGGUCGUGGAAUUCCCAGUGUAGAGGUGAAAUUCGUAGAUAUUGGGAAGAACACCCGGUGGCGAAGGC
rnacentral:rRNA from 1 species